rnacentral:rRNA from 1 species
AUUGAACGCUGGCGGCAGGCCUAACACAUGCAAGUCGAGCGGCAGCGGGAGAGUAGCUUGCUACUUUUGCCGGCGAGCGGCGGACGGGUGAGUAAUGCCUGGGGAUCUGCCCAGUCGAGGGGGAUAACUACUGGAAACGGUAGCUAAUACCGCAUACGCCCUACGGGGGAAAGCAGGGGACCUUUCGGGGCCCUUUAGCGCGUAGUUGGAUACGAACCCGAGGGUGGGUA